ensembl:lncRNA
UCAGGUUUCAGGGGAAUGCUUGCUUUCUUUCCCAUUGCUAGUUGAGCCACGAUUUGAGAAAACAGCUCCCAAAUUAUACAGGAGUGAGUCAGCUACACUCUCGUGGAGUUCAAGGUGAAACAAAUCCCCUGAUUGCUUUCCCCUCUUUCAUAUGAACCUGUGAGAUUCAUGGUAACCAGCCCAGUAGGAUCUCUCUUCCGUGGGAUCCAUUGUCUCUGUCAAGGUUCGGGUGCAGAUAGCAUCCAGUCCAGCUAGUGGAAGCAGCAAGAGUCUGAUUAUACAUCAUUAGGUGGUCUCACAUUUUUGGUAGGGCUGGAGAGGGGCAGGCUACAGUCUGAGUUUCCAACACCUCUCAGAAUCUCACUGGCCUGUCAUAGGAAGGCAAGGAAGCAAGAUCUCCCUUCACAGCUGCUGGGUCUUGGACCUCCACUGUGACACAGGGCCCCACAUGGCCCCUGACGUAUCUCUUCAACACUCUGAAGCUGGGGAUGCCACUCUGGGAUUUCAGUUAUUGCACAUGCACGCGCGCACACACACACACACACACACACACACACACACACACACACACACGCCACCUCAGCAGACUCCACCGUCAGGAAUGCAGAAGCUGCUGUAGCUUGUCUUCUGGCCCUGUAUGAUGUUGUCUUUGGCUCCUAGGUCUUGCAUGGGUGUGUCUGCCAAAGCUCCACCAGGUGCUAAGUUAUUCUAUUUGUCUUUCACAGUCUAAAUAAACUAAUUGUAUUGAAAGUUAAAAUAAGCAGGCCUGGGAUCCGAGCUGUGGCCUCGCUUUCCAGCAUCUAGGAAAGGAAGCCACGCUGCCAGGGGAGUGGGUCCAUGUGCAGUACUUAUUCCCCUUUUGCUGGAUUCCACCAGGGUCAUUGCGUUGGAGGUGAUUGGUCACACAUCUAGAACAUUCUAAGGACUUGCCCUUUUCCCAUCUAGAUGUGCAUUUGAUUUCUAGUUACAUGACUGUGCACAAGUGACCUAAGAGUUCCUGAGCUUUCGUCUGUAAUAAUGAGAAGGGGGUUGAUGACUUCACAGGUUAGCAGAUAAAAUGAGCUAGACUAUAUAUAAGCCUUGUCCCAGAGGUAAAUAUUGGUUUAUUUCUUGGGUAAAUGUAAGUUUAUUUCUUCCCUCAGUAGGUCCAGACUAUGUAGAUGAAUUCCAUUUGAACAAGGCUGCAUUUGGAAUGAGUGACAAAAUCUUAAUUCUAGUGUGUUUUCAUGCACCCAGCAAUGAGAAUGAACGUAGAAUUUAGUCUCUGUGGUGUGUACUGGGGUUAGAAUUAGGACAAGACUUGCAUGGUUUUUUUUGUUUGUUUUUUUGUGUGUGUUUUUUUUUUUUUUUUUGGUACCUGUGGCACAUGGAAGUCCCCGGGCCGGGAAUUGAACCGGAGCCACAGCACAACACGCCAGAUCCUAGCUGUGUCUGUGACCUACACCACAGCUCAUGGCAACUGUGGCCAGGGAUCAAACCCUCAUCCUCAUGGACACUAGUCAGGCUCAUUAUCACUGAGUCACAGCAGGAACUCCCCUGGCUUUGUAUUCUGUAAAGCUCAUGUUCUGUCAUUCUUUAGCCUUGACUUGUUAUUAUAAUUAUAAUUGUUCUUAUUUUUGGCCAUGCCCAUGGAAUGAGUAAGUUCUUGGGCCAGGGAUCACACCUGUGCCACAGCAGUGACAAUGCCAGAUCCUUAACCUGCUAGGCCACCAGGGAACUCCUACCCAAGAGAAUUUUAUGGAACAUGUGUUUCCACAAAAAAAAAUACAUAAAUGUUCAUUGCAGAAUUAUUAAUAAUUGCAAAAGGUGGAAAUAACUCAAUCCGUGGGUGAAUGGGUAAACAAAACUUGGUAUAUCCAUAUAAGGGACUUUUAUUUGGCUAUGAAAAAGAAUAAAGCACUGAUACAUGCUACAACAUGGAAAGCAUUAUGCCAAGUGAAAGAAGCCAGUCAUAGAAGAUCACAUAUUGUGGGAUUCCAUUUAUAUGAAAUAUUUAGAAUAAGUUACUCUAUAGAAACAGUAGAUUAAUGCUUGCCAGGGACUAGGGGAGAGAGCAGAACAGGGAGUAACUGCUAAUGGGUAUGGAGUUUCUUUUGGGAGUGGUGAAAAUGCUCUGAAAUUAGAUACUGCUGAUGGCUGUACAGAUCUGUGAAAAUACUAAAAAAAAAAAAAAA